GCAAAACUCAGAUAUCUUCCACCUCUACUUAUCUGACUGCAGAGAGGAGGACAGAGAACAGUGGACACGCAGUUUAACAUGAUGGACUAUAGGACAGGACUGCUGCUUUUAACUAUCUGCUGGGCAGGUGUUGAUGGUCAGACUCUGACAGAAUCUGAACCAGUGAUUAAAAGGCCUGGAGAAUCUCACAGACUGACCUGUACAGCCUCUGGAUUUAACUUUGGUGGCUCCAGCAUGAACUGGGUCAGACAGGCUCCUGGAAAAGGACUGGAGUGGAUCGCUUAUAUCAGCAAUACUGGUGGCAGCAUCUACUACUCUCAGUCAGUUCAAGGCCGGUUCACCAUCUCCAGAGACAACAGCAGACAGCAGGUGUAUCUGCAGAUGAACAGUCUGAAGACUGAAGAUUCUGCUGUUUAUUAUUGUGCUCGACAGCCACAGUGACUGGAGUUGGUUGAGCAGCUGUACAAAAAC